rnacentral:lncRNA from 1 species
UAAAGGUUGUAUGAAUGUGGUCUCUCUCUCAAAAUAUUUUACUGUCCUGUAGUCACCUUUCUUCUUGUGAUGAUGGGAGGUGAGCGUACAUGGUGAGAAGAGGUGAGGUGAAUGAUGAGGGCAUUGUGAUGUAGCCUUAUUUUUGCACUCGGUUGACUGGGUAACUGAAACCACAGAAGGCGAAACUGCAGAAAUCUGUGGAAAUCACUGAGGUCAUACAGGCUGUUCUUGCUUUGAUGCAUGCAUCAGAGUCCACUCUUGUCAGAGGGGAGGUGUGAAAGAUGUAUCAGGCUAAAGAUUUCUGGUUCAGGGCUACCU